UCCUUUUCAGUUUUGACUUCGGCUCAAAACCAGAAGAUAGAAAUAGAGUGAGAGAAAACGUACCUCCCUUUAGCCUAUAUAAAUCCAGAUUCAUACCUAAAUCGAUCGAAAAUAUUCUUCUUAGAUUGAGCCUGUUAGAACUCGUAUCUAUUCUUCUUCUUCUAAUUCCAAACCCUAAAUUGACCAAAAAUCGUUUUAAGCAUGUUACCGUAAACGAAUACCCAUUUUACUGAGUUUGAAUAACUUAAUUUCAGAAGAAGAUUGAGGUGCAAGUAUCUAGAAGAUUCAGAGAAGAUUCAGUGUAGAUUUGGGUCUUAAAAUAUUUUUGCAACUGAAAACUGGUGUUUCUGCUUUAGCUUGUCCAUGGAAGGUGAUAUGCGUAUUAACAAAAUUAGGUUUUCAGGUUGGUUGCUUUUAUGCGCUGCGAAGGAGCAACCUUCAUUCAUGCCUUCUGCAGUUUUCGUCAAGCAAAGACUUUCUUCAUUUGUUUCUUUUGUUGUUAUCCACUUCAAUGGCCCACAGAUAUGAAGUACAGAUCCGAGGGGUCACCUACUCCAAUCAGUCGCAGCCUUGGUUCAAUACAGGGACUAUUUGGUUGCUCUUGAAUGCAAUAAAGCAGCCCUAUAGAUAUUCUCAUUCGAUAACGGAUCAUGGAUCCCAGUUCCCAACAUACUUCUGCAAUUAUGCAGAAGUUCAGGAUUUGUGUUUUCAAGGCAUGGAGAUAUCAACAAUAACUGAAUCUUGUUGUGUGAUCUAUUGAAGGUUUGAUCUGUUGACAUAUGAAUUGCUUCACAGAUCUGAAUGGUAUUGGUUUACAUGAAUUUGUAGGAUAACUUUUUUUUUGCUUUAUCACUUCGUUCUUGGAGAUGUCAACAUUUUCUGUUUCAACCUGAUGGCCAAAUGCUUAGUGACAAGACUGUUGGCAGAGGAGGUGAUGCAUUCAACACUUUUUCCAGUGAAAGUGGUGCUGGAAGGCAUGUCCCUCGUGAAAUUUUUAUAGACCUCGAACCCACUGUCAUUGAUUAAGUGGGAACUGGAAUAUAUAUACCCCCAACUCUCUCAUCUCACUUGGCAGUUCUUAGUCAUCCUUAGCUGCAUACCGCCUUCAUACCAUCUCGAGAAUCACCACCACCUUCGCAUAUCUGCACCUACACCUUCAACAGUUUGCGCCAUACCAUUCACAGCUUCACAAGUUCAGUUGCAUCAUCAUCAUUUGCAGCCACCAACACACCAACAAGCUAGCUGCAGUUCUACUUCCCUAUGGUAACCAAUAUCAAGUAUUAAGUUUAUAUUUUUAUCUUGUAUGAUAUGGUUGCGCAACUUGUUAUGCUAUUUCAGGGAUAGCACUUAUGGAUCUUAUCAUUUUAAAUCUUUCGUCCGAGAAUCGAGCAGUCUCAUCAAACAAUGACAAAGCCUUAGCUCAUGUUGGUGCUUGUGCCAACGCGAGAAUCGUGUAUUCAGGUUAAUGAAAUCCUUCAAAAAUUACUGCACUGAUUCCAUUGAAUGGUUCCAGGUAUUUUAAUGGGACGUGAAGAACAUAUCAUACAGGCUUCACAAAGGUGCAAAGGUCCUUUCAGAUGCUAUAGAGGAACGUGCAAGGUACCUACAAAAAUUAUGGAAGAACAAGAGAAUAUUGGGAAGACUUCAUGCCACCUACAGCUUGCGAAGGGUCCUCGUCAACCAACAUUCAAACACAUGCAAAGGAUCUUCAUAAGCACUUCGAGCAACAGUAUGAUGCUCUUGCGGUACCUCCGUAUUCCGAGUUUGUGACAGAGUUAUCCUCAUCUCUUCCGUCCAAUUUGCAACUAUUAGUAUGUUUAACAGUGAGACAAGGGAAAGCAUGGACAACGAAUCUUUUAACUUGCUUGCUUCCUUAAUUUGAGAUGUUACUGAAUUAUGUA